rnacentral:tRNA from 1 species
CAAGGGUUAAUUUAUGAAAAUAUUGGUUUUGGGAAUCAAAAAAGUGAUGUAGCUUGGUGUUUCACCUUUGA